GAGUUUGAUCGUGGCUCAGGAUGAACGCUGGCGGCGUGCUUAACACAUGCAAGUCGAACGGGAACAUUUAUUGAAGCUUCGGCAGAUUUAGUUGUUCUAGUGGCGGACGGGUGAGUAACGCGUGGGUAACCUGCCUCACACUGGGGAUAACAGUCAGAAAUGACUGCUAAUACCGCAUAAGCGCACGGAACCGCAUGGUUUUGUGUGAAAAACUCCGGUGGUGUGAGAUGGACCCGCGUUGGAUUAGCCAGUUGGCAGGGUAACGGCCUACCAAAGCGACGAUCCAUAGCCGGCCUGAGAGGGUGAACGGCCACAUUGGGACUGAGACACGGCCCAGACU
rnacentral:rRNA from 1 species